GCACUGCUGGUCUUGUGGUAGAAUAGUACCCUGCCACGGUACAGACCCGGGUUCGAUUCCCGGGCAAAUGCU
rnacentral:tRNA from 1 species